UUUUCUUUCUUUCUUAGAUAUGUCACCUACCCUCUUCAUAUAUAUACAUAUAUAUAUAUAUAUAUAUACUUUUAUUAUUAUUUACCCUAUAAAUAAUAAUAAGGUUCUGCCUCGUUUGAAGUAUUGUAACUCCCAAUUACCGCUACCCUUUCCGAUUGAUCUGAGUCCCAUAACGCAUGUCAAGGCUCUGCCCGAAUAAGUUCGUUUGGAUUCUAUCUCGGGACUUCGGGACAAGGUAAUUACAGUACAUUGGAAUAAGAAUUGGAUCCGGCACCGAAGGCAUCAAGAAGUGGCUUAUUUUAUUAAUUAAAUCAAAUUAAGAAAUAUUGUUUUUAUUAAAAGCUACCUUCGUAAUACAUGGAAUUUAUUCCAUCUAUUUAAAUAAAAUCCGGUGUUUCUAAACUCUGAUAUUUUUCCUAACUCACGGUCCUGAUGAAAUUUCCGCUGCAACGUUUUUCAAAAUAAUCACCGGUACCACUGGACUGCUCGCGGCUCCCGAUUCCGGCCAGGAUGGGUUCGGGGGUCGUGACACCUUGAGUCAAGCACUGCUGAUCAUGACAAGUACUGCUAGGUUCACAGCAGUAGAAUGAUGAAGCAGCAGUUUUAUGUUUGUUCUACGUAAUGUAAUGCAAUAUCUGUAGUUAGCAAAGCAGUAGUUGUAUAGAUCAGUAGAUAGAGUUUGUUAGGUUGUUAGAUGUCACUUUCAUGGUGACGUCAGCUGAGAUGCUUCAGAGGAUUGGAUUGUCUAUAAAUGUAACAGUACUCUGUACUGUUACACUUGACCGUUUUGAGUGAGUCUUUCUCCUCAAUUCAAUCCUUCAUCUUG
rnacentral:lncRNA from 1 species